rnacentral:rRNA from 2 species
ACGGGUGCGUAACGCGUGGGAAUCUACCCUUGGGUUCGGAAUAACAUCGGGAAACUGAUGCUAAUACCGGAUGAUGACGUAAGUCCAAAGAUUUAUCGCCCAGGGAUGAGCCCGCGUAGGAUUAGCUUGUUGGUGAGGUAAAGGCUCACCAAGGCGACGAUCCUUAGCUGGUCUGAGAGGAUGAUCAGCCACACUGGGACUGAGACACGGCCCAGACUCCUACGGGAGGCAGCAGUAGGGAAUAUUGGACAAUGGGGGCAACCCUGAUCCAGCAAUGCCGCGUGAGUGAUGAAGGCCUUAGGGUUGUAAAGCUCUUUUACCCGGGAUGAUAAUGACAGUACCGGGAGAAUAAGCCCCGGCUAACUCCGUGCCAGCAGCCGCGGUAAUACGGAGGGGGCUAGCGUUGUUCGGAAUUACUGGGCGUAAAGCGCACGUAGGCGGCGAUUUAAGUCAGAGGUGAAAGCCCGGGGCUCAACCCCGGAACUGCCUUUGAGACUGGAUUGCUUGAAUCUUGGAGAGGCGGGUGGAAUUCCGAGUGUAGAGGUGAAAUUCGUAGA